GUCUAUGGCCCUACCACCCUGAACACGCCCGAUCUCAUCUGAUCUCAGAAGCUAAGCAGCAUCAGACCUGGUCAGUAAUUGGAUGGGAGUAACUUUUAUUUAAAAAUUUAUUUCUAUUAAACAUGGGGAAUACAGGAA
rnacentral:rRNA from 1 species